GACGAACGCUGGCGGCGUGCUUAACACAUGCAAGUCGAACGGAAAGGCCUUUUCGGCGGUACUCGAGUGGCGAACGGGUGAGUAACGCGUGGGUGAUCUGCCCUGCACUCUGGGAUAAGCCUGGGAAACUGGGUCUAAUACCGGAUAGGACCGCACUUUAGUGUGUGUGGUGGAAAGUUUUUUCGGUGUAGGAUGAGCCCGCGGCCUAUCAGCUUGUUGGUGGGGUAAUGGCCUACCAAGGCGGCGACGGGUAGCCGGACUGAGAGGUUGGUCGGCCACAUUGGGACUGAGAUACGGCCCAGACUCCUACGGGAGGCAGCAGUGGGGAAUAUUGCACAAUGGGCGCAAGCCUGAUGCAGCGACGCCGCGUGGGGGAUGACGGCCUUCGGGUUGUAAACUCCUUUCGCCAGGGACGAAGCGUUUUGUGACGGUACCUGGAGAAGAAGCACCGGCUAACUACGU
rnacentral:rRNA from 1 species